UCCCAGCCUCACCUGUAGAAAGUUCUGAUUAUGUGACUGAGUUCUAGCAAUGGAAGGUUAUCAGAAAUGAUGUACACUACUUCUAGGUCUGGAUCAUAAAACUCUCCCACUGGUGAAUCAUACUCUCUUCCCGUCUUGGCUGGUUGAGUGUUGAUGCUUAAAUCAACCUUGGAAGCCAUGUAUAGAAGAUGGCAGGAUGACUGAUACGAAUUUCUCAAUCUCAAGUUCGUGUGGAAGUGAUGUACAGUAAGCCAAUCACUGAGACACUGUGCUUGGAGAUGGAGAAAGUUUUAUUCGAAUUGGCCAAAACGAGAAGGCAGAAGGAUAGGUUCUCUCAAAUCCGCCUCACUGAAGAAGAAAGUAGGGGUCUUUAUAGAGGGAAGAGGCUUGGGAGGAGGAGUUUUGGAGAAACAAAGGGGAAAUCUGUGUUUCCUUUGCUCCAGAUAAGCCCUUGGACAACAAGACUUCUGGGGCAUCAACAGUACCUGGGGGCUGGUUAUCUGGUGAUGGCAACUUCCUUAAAGGCAUUAUUUUCCUUCUGCAAAACAAGCUCAUAAAUCCUUGUGACCCUUGAGUCACCCCUCAGGUUAAACAAGAAAACAGCAGAUGAACAAGAUUACCUUCUUUUCAUCUGCAUCUGUGUUGGGGACAAGGUCUCAGGGUAAUCAUGUUCUUAUUGAAUAUGUAACCCUCAGGUACCUGGCUUCAUGAUCACAGACCUAUUAAGUGUGGAGUCCAGCAUUCAGGCAGUUCUCAUGACUUCAGCGCCCAUGUACUACCUACGAUGCUCCACUGUUUCUCCACGGGCUUCAUUGUGAGGGUGUUCUGGAAGCCCAUGUAGGGGUAGAGCACUUGGCAGCAUUUGGCUAAAACUUGAAAUUUGACCCUCAGUUCACUGAUAAGAUUUUAAUGAAGCCAGGAUCUCACAUCAUGCUAGGAUAAAACGCUGCCUUUCAAGUGGGAUUACUUCAAAGCCUCAAUCCACCUGGGGACCCUGGGGGAGAGGUAAUAUAGGUCAGAACAAAUGCUAGAAAUCAAGAUCAGGGAGAGUGGUAAAAAUAUGGAGGAGCUAGGCAAAGAAUUGAGGUUAUUAAGCAGUAAGUCUUCAAAGGGUCCAGUAUGUGGAGUAUAUUUAUUCCCAUCUUAAAAUAAUUUUUCAAAAUCUAGAGCAAAAUGUCCUUAAUCCAUUAGCAUUUCUCUCUCAAUCUCCAAUUCAGAUACUGAAAAGAUCGGCAAACAUCAAUAACAACAAAUCAACCUGAGCCACUUUGAAACAAUAUACGUAACGAUCAUAUUUAAAGCCCGUACAUAGAAGGUGGCCUGUUGGCCCAUGUGAAGACAUGGGUAUUUAGACGAUCAGCUUAGAUCAGAUGACGAAAAUAAUAACUGUUAAGAACCAACUGAGAUAACAGUAGAUGUUGCAUUUAGGAAGUCAGCAGCCCUUAAGAUAAGCAGAACCACAAAGAUCCCACAGCAGCUGAGAGAUGAGUGAGCUCUGAGGACGAGGACAUGGCUGCAAUGAGUACACAAUGAAAUCACGGCUCAGGCAAGUGUACCAUGUUCCUCAGGACAGAGAUCCACAAAGUCUCUUUACAGGAAAGGAAGGUUUUAUUGUAAAGAUAUUCAUGGAACUGGAACCAAAACUAGAAUACCUAAAGAGAUCAAGACA
ensembl:lncRNA